GUGAGGAAUUUUCCGCAAUGGGCGAAAGCCUGACGGAGCAAUGCCGCGUGAAGGAUGAAGGCCUAUGUGUUGUAAACUUCUUUUCUCAGAAAAGAAUUAUGACGGUAUCUGAGGAAUAAGCAUCGGCUAACUCUGUGCCAGCAGCCGCGGUAAGACAGAGGAUGCAAGCGUUAUCCGGAAUGAUUGGGCGUAAAGCGUCUGUAGGUUGUUUAAAAAGUAUUCUGUCAAAGAUUAGGGCUUAACCCUAGAUAGGCAGAAUAAACUUUUAAGCUAGAGUUUGGUAGAGGCAGAGGGAAUUCCCGGUGGAGCGGUGAAAUGCGUAAAUAUCGGGAGGAACACCAAAGGCGAAGGCACUCUGCUGGGCCAAUACUAACACUGAGAGACGAAAGCGAGGGGAGCAAAUGGGAUUAGAAACCCCUGUAGUCC
rnacentral:rRNA from 1 species